rnacentral:rRNA from 1 species
UACGAAGGGGGCUAGCGUUGUUCGGAAUUACUGGGCGUAAAGCGCACGUAGGCGGAUAUUUAAGUCAGGGGUGAAAUCCCGGGGCUCAACCCCGGAACUGCCUUUGAUACUGGGUAUCUCGAGUCCGAGAGAGGUGAGUGGAAUUCCGAGUGUAGAGGUGAAAUUCGUAGAUAUUGGAGGAACACCAGUGGCGAAGGCGGCUCACUGGCUCGUAUCUGACGCUCAGGCGCGACAGCGUGGGGAUCGAAACAGG